AUUUUUGUAAUGGGGAAGACAUCACUCUCUUAUUUGUUGGGGUUCAUUGGUUGAACUCUCUAAUACAAUACAAAAUGUAAAGUCCUGGCAGGAUAAGAAAGGAAUUCCUACUCAUCAGCAGAGUGAUCUUUGCUGGUAAGCAAUUGGAAGAUGGAUGUACUUUGAUGACAGCAUUCAAAAGGAGUCCACUCUUCUUAUUGUGCUGAGACUUUGUGGUGGUGCCAAGGAAGAAGUAUUACACCACUCCCAAGAAGAAUACGCAUAAGAGAAAGAAGGUUAAGCUAACGGUCCUAAAAUAUUACAAGGUGGACAAGAAUGGCAAAACUAGUUGCCUUUGUUGUGAGUGCCCUUCAGGUGAGUGUGGUGCUGGAGUUUUUAUGGCCAGCCACUUUGAAAGACAUUAUUGUGGCAAAUGUUGUCUGACUUACUGUUUCAACAAACCAGAAGA
rnacentral:lncRNA from 1 species